rnacentral:rRNA from 1 species
CCUACGGGAGGCAGCAGUGAGGAAUAUUGGUCAAUGGACGAGAGUCUGAACCAGCCAAGUAGCGUGAAGGAUGACUGCCCUAUGGGUUGUAAACUUCUUUUAUAUGGGAAUAAAAUGUUCCACGUGUGGGAUUUUGUAUGUACCAUAUGAAUAAGGAUCGGCUAACUCCGUGCCAGCAGCCGCGGUAAUACGGAGGAUCCGAGCGUUAUCCGGAUUUAUUGGGUUUAAUGGGAGCGUAGGUGGAUUGUUAAGUCAGUUGUGAAAGUUUGCGGCUCAACCGUAAAAUUGCAGUUGAAACUGGCAGUCUUGAGUACAGUAGAGGUGGGCGGAAUUCGUGGUGUAGCGGUGAAAUGCUUAGAUAUCACGAAGAACUCCGAUUGCGAAGGCAGUUCACUGGACUGCAACUGACACUGAGGCUCGAAAGUGUGGGUAUCAAACAGGAUUAGAUACCCCAGUAGUC